GCCGUCGCGGCGCGACACGUCGCCGUGAACCUCCCAAAUUCCAGCCUCCUACCUUUGCCUUUGCGGGCGCCGGAGAAGACGAGCCGCGCCUAGUAUAAAAGAGGACUCGAGGAAGCUGGAGCGGCGAGGCCAGAGCAGAGGACAGCAGAAGGAUCGACGGCAUGCUGCUGGCAGGACUGAUCGGCGGGCGACCAAGCCCGGCCGGCCGGCCAACGGAAGGAGCAAAGGUCAGCCCCCUGUCCUGCCUAACUUGGCUCCAAAUCCUCACUGCAAUGCCUUGUUCUCGCGAUCGAUCUCGUCGCUCACUGCCUUGGCUCGCUCGCUCGUCUUCUUCGUUCAUCCGACCCGGCGCUGCAGUCGCUCGUGGGGUUCGAUCGAUCUGGGCUCGCUCGAUGUGAUUGCCUUUUUCUUUCUUUCUUUCUUUUGGAUGGAUGUCAUUUAGUCGUACGUUAACAAGCAGUUUCCAGAGGGCGACAGUCACACUCACACCACGUACAAAAAGCCUUUUUUUUUCUUUCUAAACAAAGAAGAAAACCGGGUCCCGUUUUUUAUCUGCUAGUCUCUGCUGUUUGCCUGUUGUUGGUGGUGUUUGUAAGCUGUGUGGGCAGCACUUUGCAUCAUCCAUUUUCAUUUUAUUUCCUUCUGUUUUUUUCUUCUGGUCUUUGUAAUCCCAGUCUGGUUGAUUGCUCGUUAAUCAAAGGCAGGCUCUUCUUUAAGCCUCCUUUUUUUUUGCUCUUCUUAAGCCUCCUUUUUUUUUGCUCUUCUUAAGCCUCCUUUCUAAAGAAAGGAAUUUAACUGAAUUAGGCUCCAUGAAAGAUGGCCCUUUUUUCAUCUAUAGUUUUCAUAUUUUCUCUUGGUCGGCCAACAGCACGACAUCUCAGCUCCAGCAGCACGCAACCAGCAAACUUGUCUCAUGUGGAGUUGAUAACAUUGAGCAGCCGCCAUGGAUAUUUUCGCAUUGUUUACUGGGUUUCUUGUUUUGGGGAACACCUGAUUUUCUUGUCAGUCUACUUAAGCGUUUUCUUCUUGUACUUCUUUCAAAUAGUUAACAAUUUAUGUGUGAGAAAUCUUUUAGUCAUGCCCUUUCAGGGUUCCUUUUUUUUUCAGAUAACCCUUUCAGUUUUUUUUCCUGAUAACCCUUCCAGGGUUCUUGAAAGCAAUAACUUUUACUACUCCCGAUAAUUAUUUGGGACGGAGGGAGUACUACUUAAUUUAUGUUACAAAAGAUGUACACUAGUUGUUCAAAUGUUUUUUUCCAGAUGUUUUGGAACCACCUUGCACGAACAAUUUCAUUGAAGGACAUGAUAAAUUUCGAUGUGAAGCACAAGAAAUAGGUACUACCAAAGAACCGGAAGAACUUGGCAAGGUUCCUUUGAUCCUCCUUUUGAUGGAAGAGACAUGCAGACAUACUGCAUUUCCCCAAAGAAAGAAAUGGAGUGAAAAAAAAGGCACCCUGCUAAUCACACGCCUAUCCAGCUCUGCUGAUACCAUACUCCCUUAUUCGUACUGAGAUACUUGAUAAUGGAGGCAUAAUUAAACCCAGAAGGAAUUAAGCGCUGUCGAUCUUGAGGGUCUCGACGAACCUCCGGUACGCCUUGACGUUGGUGGGCAGGAAGUCGAGGAAGUCAUGGA